CGAACCAACAAUAGGCUGCCUAUGUAUCUCACAUCCCAAAAGAGGAGAAUCAGGGGUGCGUAGUUCGUCCAGAUUGGAUAAUUAAUUAUUAAAUAACAGGCUAGACCCUGACUUAAGAAACACGACCAAAGACAGACGAUGAACCAUGUUAAUAAAAUCUUUUGAGUUUUCAUUUUGAUACUUCACAGAAAAAUGACAUCAACAACUACGAAAGAAAAAAUCUUUUUGGUAUUUUCGUUAUACGAAAUGUAAAAAUUUU
rnacentral:lncRNA from 1 species